rnacentral:rRNA from 1 species
UACGGAGGAUGCGAGCGUUAUCCGGAUUUAUUGGGUUUAAAGGGUGCGUAGGCGGACUGUCAAGUCAGCGGUAAAAUUGAGAGGCUCAACCUCUUCCCGCCGUUGAAACUGGUGGUCUUGAGUGGAUGAGAAGUACGCGGAAUGCGUGGUGUAGCGGUGAAAUGCAUAGAUAUCACGCAGAACUCCGAUUGCGAAGGCAGCGUACCUGCAUCCAACUGACGCUGAGGCACGAAAGCGUGGGGAUCAAACAGG